GAUGAAGAACGUAGCGAAAUGCGAUAAGUAGUGUGAAUUGCAGAAUUCAGUGAAUCAUCGAAUCUUUGAACGCACAUUGCGCCUCCCGGCAUUCCGGGAGGCAUGCCUGUUCGAGCGUCAUCAAACACCAUCGUGCAAAAAUGAAUUUUUUUUUUUUUUCGCACGGAAGUGACUUGGAGCGGUGAAACGGAAAUUGAUUUUUUUUUCUUUUUUCGUUCUUUCUUCGCCCCUCGUCGAAAUCGAUCCGGGCGGAAUUUGGGAUCGGGUUCCUCGGCGUAGUGUACCAAUGCAUCUUUAUGCAACUUGCCGCGGAGUCGAGCCUGACCCACGCGUUCUUGCCGUUCAAAAACCCCCCGACCCCGGGGGGUCACUUUACAAGAUUUUGACCUCGGAUCAGGUAGGGAUACCCGCUGAACUUAAGCAUAUCAAUAAGCGGAGGA
rnacentral:misc_RNA from 1 species